rnacentral:rRNA from 1 species
AGUGAACGCUGGCGGUAGGCCUAACACAUGCAAGUCGAACGGCAGCACAGUAAGAGCUUGCUCUUACGGGUGGCGAGUGGCGGACGGGUGAGGAAUACAUCGGAAUCUACUUUUUCGUGGGGGAUAACGUAGGGAAACUUACGCUAAUACCGCAUACGACCUACGGGUGAAAGCAGGGGAUCUUCGGACCUUGCGCGAUUGAAUGAGCCGAUGUCGGAUUAGCUAGUUGGCGGGGUAAAGGCCCACCAGGGCGACGAUCCGUAGCUGGUCUGAGAGGAUGAUCAGCCACACUGGAACUGAGACACGGUCCAGACUCCUACGGGAGGCAGCAGUGGGGAAUAUUGGACAAUGGGCGCAAGCCUGAUCCAGCCAUACCGCGUGGGUGAAGAAGGCCUUCGGGUUGUAAAGCCCUUUUGUUGGGAAAGAAAAGCAGCAGGUUAAUACCCCGCUGUUCUGACGGUACCCAAAGAAUAAGCACCGGCUAACUUCG